UAUAUACUCCCUCUGUCCGAAAAUACUUGUUGGAGAAAUGAUAAAAAUAGAUGUAUCUAGAACUAAAAUACGUCUAGAUACACCCAAUUCUCCGACAAGUAUUUCCGCACGGAGGGAGUAUUUA
rfam:Hordeum vulgare subsp. vulgare, WGS project CAJW01000000 data, contig: morex_contig_169177